rnacentral:rRNA from 1 species
AUUGAACGCUAGCGGGAUGCUUUACACGUGCAAGUCGAACGGCAGCGCGGACUUCGGUCUGGCGGCGAGUGGCGAACGGGUGAGUAAUGUAUCGGAACGUGCCCAGUAGCGGGGGAUAACUACGCGAAAGCGUAGCUAAUACCGCAUACGCCCUACGGGGGAAAGCAGGGGAUCGUAAGACCUUGCACUAUUGGAGCGGCCGAUAUCGGAUUAGCUAGUUGGUGAGGUAACGGCUCACCAAGGCGACGAUCCGUAGCUGGUUUGAGAGGACGACCAGCCACACUGGGACUGAGACACGGCCCAGACUCCUACGGGAGGCAGCAGUGGGGAAUUUUGGACAAUGGGGGCAACCCUGAUCCAGCCAUCCCGCGUGUGCGAUGAAGGCCUUCGGGUUGUAAAGCACUUUUGGCAGGAAAGAAAUGUCGCGGGCUAAUACCCCGUGGAACUGACGGUACCUGCAGAAUAAGCACCGGCUAACUACGUG